rnacentral:tRNA from 1 species
UGGCCUAGUGAUUAAGGCUCCGGAUCGCCACAAUCCGGAGACGGCGGGUUCGAUUCCCGU